GGGGAGCCCAGACUUGCCAAUGGGUAAGUGAGUCUAGUCAAGAUGUAGGAUUUCAGAAAACUCACUCAGAAGAGCAGGAUGAAGAUAAAGGAGGCAUCAUUCAGCAGCAAUAACCAGUAAGUAAUGGUAGAGAUCUUUAGGGUGUGGGCAAGUGACCCUAAAGACUUGCAAUGUUAGUUUAGCAAUCUGUUUGCAAUUUUCAAAUGAAAAACACUUGGAACAAAGAUAAGCUGCAUGGAAUAAACUGCCCUAGGGGAGAUCAUAAAUUAUCAGAGGUGCCUGGGGAAGUGGGAGAACAUAGUUCUCCGUGCAGCUUUUAGCAUCUUGCCGAUGGAGGUCAGAGUGAAGGUACUGUGGUCAGAGUGAAGGCCUUGGCAGGUAGGACCUUUCACAUUCCCAGAGCUACAUUAAUAGAGCUCCCUGGUCUCUGAACGGUGGGGAGCUAUUUUGUAAGCCAAUCAGGAACAAUUCCACAUUCAAGUAAGAGUAUACCAUCAAACAAUUGCUCGGAAUCCUAGCAGUUUCAGAGACAGUCUUGACAUAACAGGCCGAUGCAUUUUAUUUAAUAAACCUAAUCUAUUCUAAAUUUUCAUUAUGUUAUUAAGU
rnacentral:lncRNA from 1 species